rnacentral:tRNA from 1 species
AUUUCUUAUGGUGAAAUUAUCACAUUGACUUUUCGCGUUGAAGGUGGGCUGUGCUCUAAGGGUUU